UACGUAGGGUGCGAGCGUUGUCCGGAAUUAUUGGGCGUAAAGAGCUCGUAGGCGGUUUGUUGCGUCGGCCGUGAAAACUUGGGGCUUAACCCCGAGCCUGCGGUCGAUACGGGCAGACUUGAGUUCGGCAGGGGAGACUGGAAUUCCUGGUGUAGCGGUGAAAUGCGCAGAUAUCAGGAGGAACACCGGUGGCGAAGGCGGUGAGCUAGGCAGUUGCUGACACUGAGGCGCGACAGCGUGGGGAGCAAACAGG
rnacentral:rRNA from 1 species